rnacentral:rRNA from 1 species
UGGGGAUGACGUCAAGUCAGCAUGGCCCUUACUCCGGGGCUACACACGUGCUACAAUGGCCGGUACAAAGGGUUGCGAAGCCGUGAGGUGGAGCGAAUCUCAAAAAAGCCGGCCUCAGUUCGGAUUGGAGGCUGCAACUCGCCUCCAUGAAGUCGGAAUCGCUAGUAACCGCAGAUCAGCUACGUUGCGGUGAAUACGUUCCCGGGCCUU